rnacentral:misc_RNA from 1 species
AUUUUCUUGCAUUCUUAAUUGUUAAUAUUGUCUUUUGCCUCAAUUAAUAUGUUUCCUUCCAAUUUCUACAGAUUCUUUGUGUUAAUCUUUUCACCCUUCAUGAUUACGAGAACACCUAGGCUAAUUCUCCUAACUUCACUAUGAAUUGAACACUCUUAACUCACAGAUUUCAACUUAUUCAAGGAAAUUAAAUUCCUUUCAAA